rnacentral:tRNA from 1 species
GGAGAGGUCGGAUAGCCCGGUUUAUUCCGCCGCACUUGAAAUGCGGUAUCCCGCAAGGGAUCGUGAGUUCGAAUCUCACCCUCUCCGCCA